rnacentral:snRNA from 1 species
UGGCCUAUCGAUCCUUUAGACCU